UCUACUAAAGGAAAACAGCCUUCCAUUGGUCUUAGGCACCAAGUCCCU
rnacentral:tRNA from 1 species